rnacentral:lncRNA from 1 species
AACAAACUAUUGAGUAAGCCAUCAAAGAAAAAAUGACUUUGGUACUUAAUAUGCUAUGCCAUCCGUCUUCUUUGAAAACAAUGAAAGGAACCAAAAAAAGAAAAAAAAAAGAAAGAAAGAAAGAAAGAAAGAAAGAAAGAAAGAAAGAAAGAAAGAAAGAAAGAAAGAAAAUAAUGAAAGGAAUACCAGAGAAGCAGGUGUAGCUACCUGAGGAUUUUGCGACUUCCUGGAAACAUAGUCCCCUGACAGUGAUAGAAUGACAUGUGACAAAUGCCUUUAUGACUUGAAAUGUUGAUUUUAAACACAAGGAAACUACUUUCCAAUGUUUUAGGAAGAAAACAUUGGUGUUUGCUUCUACAUGUGAAAUAUAUGUAACAUAAAUGUGCCUGUAGUUCAUGUCACCAACCAAAGGAUCAGAGAGUGGAGAGUGUGGUCAUAGAUCAAGAUCAAGGAGUGCAGUGGGCAAGAGUCUAGGGAAGAUCUUGAUAGACUUAUUUUUAAUGUGUCAUUUGACUACUGUUAGAGUCAGAGUCCUGGAGCUGGGAAGAUGGCUCAGUUCUGUGCUUGCUGCAUAAGCGUGAGACUGUGAGUUUGGACACUCAGCCUCCAAGUAAAAUAUAUCUGAAAUUCUGGUGCUGAGGAGGCAGAGACAGAGGAGCUCUGCACUUUAUUGGUCAGCUAGUCUUGCUGUGUUCAUGAGCUUAGGUUCAGUGAGAGACCCUGUCUCACAAAAUAGGAAGGAUAGCAAUAGAAGAAGACAUCUGACAUCAACAUUUGGUCCCACAACCACACAUACAUACACAAAAAAAUGUACAAACACACACAAACACACACUGAUCCUUAAAGAGGGUCCAAGUUGGGAUCAUUGAAGUCUCUUCACUGGGCUCCUUGCUAGUGAUCUCAACUCGGGUCUUCAUCCUGAGAGCCUUCUCUCCAUCAUCUGGAAUAUGAAGCUAAUGUGCACACAUCUCAGGUGUCAGUUGUGAGGGUAAAUGAGGAAUACCCAAGUGUUGCCUAGCAUUUUUUUUUCAGAAUAAACAUUAACUCUCCUUAGCUACUUACCUACAACAUGAGGCAAAGGGCUACAUAUACCACCCCUAUCUAAGCAGGAAUAUCUUAUAAUUGGGAGCUUAGGAAGUUUCUGUUUCACACCCUCUUCCUAUUAUAGUAAGGCACAUCCUAUUUAUUUUACACUUUGCUGGUUUUCCUUGAAACAUACAUUUUCUGCUAUCCAGCUAGUUAGGAAUAACUCACUAGGUCUGGCAUCAAGGAAUUUUCCCAUUAGAUGGUGAGGCAACUCUUUUGGACUCUCAGUUGGGGCCUGUUUAUAUUGACAAAUCAGUAGAACUCACAAAUCACAUAGAAUAUGGAGUUGAACAACUGGAAGCUCUCUGGCCUCAUUAGAAGAGUCUGUCACACUGAGGCAGGCUGAGUUGGUCAGGGUUACACUGCCUUUCGUUGUGGGCUUCAGGGAGAAGUGAGGUUAUAGUUUAAGGUGGUGAUUUUUCUCCCUCCGUUAUAGUUCAAAACCAGACUAGAGACACAGGUCAGUGCGAAUUGCUUAGGACUUUAACACUGGCCUCUCUCCUACCCUCCUCUUACAGUUCAAUCACAGAUUUGCGUAGCUCCUCUGUUCCCUUUAAGAAGGUUGUGCCUGUAUUUUUAUUGUAACAUUUAUUUUCUCAGGCACCACACCUCUUCCUCCACUAAUCUCAGGUAAUCUUCAGAAAUUAACAGCCAACUGGGAAGCUGCAAACAUCCUAUCUUUUUAGAAUCUAAACCUGUGGAGUUACCAACAUAGAUUUUAUAUCUCUGUUAACAAAGGCAUGAUGUCCUUAUGUUAUACUUAACUCUUGAGAAAAUUCAGAUUAGGGCCUUGGAAAUACAUCUUCUUGGUAUAUCUAGUAGUUUUUGCUCACAGGAUACUGUUAGAUAUAUAUGUCCAUAAAAUAGCUGUUGUAAAACAAAACAAAACC